rnacentral:rRNA from 1 species
CCUACGGGUGGCAGCAGUGAGGAAUAUUGGUCAAUGGGAGGAAUCCUGAACCAGCCAUGCCGCGUGCAGGACGACGGCUCUACGAGUUGUAAACUGCUUUUGUACCGGGGUAAAAUGCCUUACGUGUAGGGUUUUGAAAGUACGGUACGAAUAAGGAUCGGCUAACUCCGUGCCAGCAGCCGCGGUAAUACGGAGGAUCCGAGCGUUAUCCGGAUUUAUUGGGUUUAAAGGGUGCGUAGGUUGUUUUAUAAGUUAGCGGUGAAAUACCGAUGCUCAACAUCGGGGGUGCCGCUAAUACUGUAGGACUAGAGAGCGGGUGAAGCAGGCGGAAUGUGUGGUGUAGCGGUGAAAUGCAUAGAUAUUACACAGAACACCGAUUGCGAAGGCAGCUUGCUAGGCCGGAUCUGACACUGAUGCACGAAAGCGUGGGGAUCGAACAGGAUUAGAUACCCCAGUAGUC